rnacentral:tmRNA from 2 species
GGGGCUGAUAUAGCUUUCGACAAUUGGACUUUAUCAAGAUAUUCUGCGAACCGACGAUACACGUAACGUAUGCUGUAGUUGCAAACUUUGUUGCAAAAGCAAAGUCAUUUGUAGCGAGCGCUUUCGCUCCUAAGAUGGCUUUUGCGCCAAUCGCUGCUUAGUUUUUAGCGAUCAUCCUAGCAUCGUGGCAACAGUCAAUGUUGUAGGGUGUCAUAUAUAUGUUGCUUGCUGUAUGUUCGGAAGUGGCGGACAUACGGGACUUUCUCCGCGUAACGAAACUUAGUUUUUUUGACUCAUUUUUUAGCUAAGUGACGUUAUAAAAUUUUUAAAUGAGCCUAUGUUCGUAGACGAGUAUCAUGAUACCAGUUGGACCCGGGGGCAGUACCCGGCAGCUCCACCA